rnacentral:tRNA from 1 species
ACCUGGGUGGCUCAGUCAGUUGAGUGUCUGACUUCGGCUCAGGUCAUGACCUCACAGUUUGUGAGUUCGAGCCCCGCAUCAGGUC